UACGUAGGCAGCAAGCGUUGUUCGGAAUUACUGGGCGUAAAGAGUGUGUAGGCGGUUCUCUAAGUUCCGUGUGAAAUCUCCCGGCUUAACUGGGAGGGUGCGCGGAAAACUGGAGGGCUGGAGUAUGGGAGAGGAAAGCGGAAUUCCUGGUGUAGCGGUGAAAUGCGUAGAUAUCAGGAGGAACACCUGCGGUGUAGACAGCUUUCUGGACCAUCACUGACGCUGAGACACGAAAGCGUGGGUAGCAAACAGG
rnacentral:rRNA from 2 species